GCAGAUGUGCCGAAAUUGGUAUACGGGUUGGUAUUAGGAACCAAAGAGUUAUUACUCGUGAAGGUUCGAGUCCUUUUAUCUGUA
rnacentral:tRNA from 1 species